AUCUACAGUCAUACCACUCAGAACACACCUAAUCUCAUCUAUUCUUAGAAGAUAAGCAGGAUGGGGUCUGGUUAGUACUCAAAUAGGAAAAACAAACAAACACCUCUCCAUGCCUGUAGGUU
ensembl:rRNA 5S_rRNA 5S ribosomal RNA